rnacentral:rRNA from 1 species
AUUGAACGCUGGCGGAAGGCCUAACACAUGCAAGUCGAACGAGUGGCGGACGGGUGAGUAAUGUCUGGGAAACUGACCGAUGGCGGGGGAUAACUACUGGAAACGGUAGCUAAUACCGCAUACCAUCGGAUGUGCCAAGAUGGGAGUAGCUAGUAGGUGGGGGAACGGCUCACCUAGGCGACGAUCCCUAGCUGGUCUGAGAGGAUGACCAUCCACACUGGAACUGAGACCCGGUCCAGCCUCCUACGGGAGGCAGCAGUGGGGAAUAUUGCACAAUGGGCGCAAGCCUGAUGCAGCCAUGCCGCGUGUAUGAAGAAGGCCUUCGGGUUGUAAAGUACUUUCAGCGAGGAGGCGUUACUCGCAGAAGAAGCACCGGCUAACUCCGUGCCAGCCGCCGCGGUAAUUC